AUUGAACGCUGGCGGCAUGCUUUACACAUGCAAGUCGAACGGCAGCGCGGGCUUCGGCCUGGCGGCGAGUGGCGAACGGGUGAGUAAUACAUCGGAACGUGCCCAGUAGUGGGGGAUAGCUCGGCGAAAGCCGGAUUAAUACCGCAUACGACCUGAGGGUGAAAGCGGGGGAUCUUCGGACCUCGCGCUAUUGGAGCGGCCGAUGGCAGAUUGGCUAGUUGGUGGGGUAAAGGCCUACCAAGGCGACGAUCUGUAGCUGGUCUGAGAGGACGACCAGCCACACUGGGACUGAGACACGGCCCAGACUCCUACGGGAGGCAGCAGUGGGAAAUUUUGGACAAUGGGCGAAAGCCUGAUCCAGCAAGGCCGCGUGUGUGAUGAAGGCCUUCGGGUUGUAAAGCACUUUUGGCGGGAACGAAAAGGACUGUGCCAAUACCACGGUUCGAUGACGGUACCCGCAGAAUAAGCACCGGCUAACUACGUG
rnacentral:rRNA from 1 species